CAAUUUUAUUUGUUUAUAAGUUUAUAGAAUCAAAUGACGGUACCCUUAUAUACUUACGUGAAUUAAUUUAUAUAAUAGUUUAAAAACUAUUUAAAUGGGAUUGUAUUAUGGCAUAAACAUAUAAUAAACAAAAAGAUAUUCUCACGGAAUUUUGAUAUAUUUGUUAAAUACAAUUACAUGUGUUAUUUGUACUGUAAGGAAACAUAAUAGAAUUACUGCAGUAAAUAAAUAAAUAAUGAUAUCUAAAGGUUUAAAAAAUAAGUAUUUGAAGAAUCAAAUUCCAACGUUUUUAAUCAUUUCUUUUUGGUCCAUUCUAUCGCCGAAAUGUGAGUCGAUAAUUUCUGUAUGUUUGUAAUCACCGAUUUAAAUGAUUGUCGGUGAUAUUGAAACACAAGGUUUCUCCAAGUAUAUAUCUCUCUCUCUCUCGUUCGAUCGAGAAUUGAUCGAUGAAGGGACAGAAGCACCUGCAUCCUUUGACGAAGAGAAUCAGUCAUCCGCUUAGUCUCGAGUAGUUCAACUUUGAGAACGUACUUGUUAUAUAGCCACAUCUACUAGAUAGAUUCCACUUCUCGUUGGUUCACCAGAUGAAUUAUUAAAUUGAAAAUCUUGCUAGUUGUUGAUCAAAGCUUAUACUUCGACAGCAAGUUCGGAAAAUACGAUGGAACGUUGAAUAGAGAACUCUCGAUUGUUUAUCGAAACGUGUCGUUCUUUAACGACGAAACUUUUAACGAUUCUAACGACGACUUUGAUAUCAGUAGCAAAGUUUCACCACAUCUUGAAGAGAUCAGCGCGUUGAUCUUGGAACAAAUGACACAUUGUACUUACAUUAACGAUAAGGAUACCUUUGAAAAUUGUACCUGCUGGAAAAUAUGGAAAAGUUUAACAGAGCGAGAAGGAAACAUUGUAGCAAAGGAAUUACAAUGUCAAGUGAACAGCGUGGAACGCUGCGAAUAGUAAAACAAAAUUAAUAAAGUAACAACUUAGACGUGGAAGAAUAUUUGACUGCGCAAUAAUAAUAGGUUGGCGAAAUGGUAACAGAUCUCAAGCAAAAGGAAUAUUUUAAUAAAUUUGUAGGAUGAAAUUAAAAAAAAAAAAAUUGAACAUUAAUAAGUUGUAUAAUUUUGCGAUAUGCAUAACAGAUAGAUUAUCCGAAAAAAGAAUCGUCAGAUGCGGAUUAAAUUUUGCUAAAACAAUCGAAUCAUCUUGCUACGCUUUGUCCAUUGUGCUCCUUUACUCAUCCGAAGCAGCAGACCGAAGAUUGUAACCCGCAUAACGAAACCCUUUAACCAUCCCUCAAACGAGCCGUAGCUCUAUCAUGCUCCGUUUGCUCCAAGGAUUCACUUAGUCUCGACAGAAGACGGAGAUGAAGUGAAUGGAAUCGAAUUGUCAUUGCACGGUCAAACAGACGUACUAGUACUUCUCUCUCCAAGUACGAAGGACUUCUUUUCUCUUUGAUACGAAAGUAGUUCAAGAACUACUAUACGGACUUUUAGCAAAUAAGACUUCUGACUCUUCUCAAGUGGUUUGUGAGAAAUAUGCAAAUAAUUACGUGUAAUUUAUUUUACGUCGAUUUAUUUAAUUUAUUUGGAUUAUAAUCUUUUAUCGAAUUACGAUAAAGAAUUAUUUAAAUACCUAUUCUAUAUUAUUUACUCGAGCGAUCAUGAUUGUUUUAUUUUAUCCGUUUCAUCAUAAAUGUUUCGUAAAUUUUGAAAUUAUUAAAUUAUUUAUUACAAAUCUUGCAUCUAUAUUACUAUUAGCGUAAAAACAUUCACAAUUUUACAUAUAAUAAUUUCCUGUUCUGCUGUUAAUAAUACGGUAUUUCAACACAAUAUUUCAACACAAAUUUUGAUAAACUUGUACGAUAAUAAUUACGCUGGUAAUUACAGCACUAAUUACAGUUUUGGUUUAAUAACUACGAUAAGGAGUAAUAAGAUACACAGACAACAUUAUGGUGUUAAUCAUAAUAUUGCUUAAUAACUUUAAAAUAUACGAGGAAUGUAGGAAUUGAAUUGAAAAUAAUAUAUAAUUUAAGAAGAUUGAACUGCCACUGUUUAUAACGAGUGCAAUGAUCGAUAUUUAGCUGAUAAUAAAUGACAUGUCGAUCGGUACAACAGGUGUAUCGAGUUAUAUUUCAUUUCAUUUCACGUUCGAUACUAAUAAUAUAGUAUUAGCAAUAUUCUCACGUUAUUAUAUUUACUCUGUCAUAAAAAAAGAAUUUUUUAAAAAUUUAUCAACCAUUCAAUAUAACUAUUUUUCACGUUUUAGGGAAUAAUAAAUUUGAUCUGCAAAUAUUAAAAUGUACAAGAAAAAUGUUAUAUAACGUAGUUUGAAAUUAAAAUAUUGUACAAUUAUUGUUUUCAAAAUUUUUAUUUUAAAUAUAAUAAAUAUUUUUUUCAAGUAA